CUCUCUCUCCAUCUCUGUUGCCGUAGCGAUCUCCUCUCUCUCUCUCUCUCCAUCUCUGUUGCCGUAGCGAUCUCCUCUCUCUCCCUCAGACCGAGCAGCAUAGCACACGGACGGAUAGACCUUUAUCGCUAUGACGAUGGAUCCACCGUGGAAUAUCCAGAGGUACUACUAUCACCACAACAACCAGGCAACACAGACAAUGAGUUUCCAGUCCUGAGGUGAAUCCGUCCAGAGUUACUGCGGUCCAGAGUUACUGCGGUCCUGAGGUGAAUCAGUCCAGAGUUACUGCGGUCCAGAGUUACUGCAGUCCAGAGUUACUGCGGUCCAGAGUUACUGCAGUCCAGAGUUACUGCGGUCCAGAGUUACUGCGGUCCAGAGUUACUGCGGUCCAGAGUUACUGCGGUCCAGAGUUACUGCGGUCCAGAGUUACUGCGGUCCAGAGUUACUGCGGUCCAGAGUUACUGCGGUCCUGAGUUACUGCGGUCCAGAGUUACUGCGGUCCAGAGUUACUGCGGUCCAGAGUUACUGCGGUCCAGAGUUACUGCGGUCCAGAGUUACUGCGGUCCAGAGUUACUGCGGUCCAGAGUUACUGCGGUCCAGAGUUACUGCGGUCCAGAGUUACUGCAGUCCAGAGAAAGGGUGUGUCCCUCCUUUAGCUGCAGUAAAAGGGGUGUGUCUGUUUGUCUGGCCCCUCCCCCUGACUGCAGAAAGGGGUGUGCCUGUGCGUCGGUGUACAGAAAGGGGUGUGGACUGGCCUGAUGGAGGCGGGACAUCCGUCACCUGACAGCAGUAAUGAGGAGUGUACAGUACUGGAGGCUCUAUCGGGACUGGCCUGUCACACACACACUGGAAAGGUGACGGAGCUGUACUGUUCCAAGGUGUGAGGUGUGUGUGUGUGAGGUGUGUGUGUCGGGGGAGCAUGCAGACCACCCCACGGGACCGUUAUUAGCAGCUCUGGGGACACACAGAGACGGUCUGCAGGAGAGACUGACGGCUGCACAGAACAGACUGCCUCAGAUCUCAGAGGCCCUGGUGUCUCUGAGAGAGAUCCUACAGCAGCUGACCAAUCAGAGAGCUUUGAUCGAGGAGGACAUCCACGUCAGCUUUGAAGAGCUCCACAAGACCCU